GGGACUAAAAUAUGUUAGUGAUGAGCCAACUAUCAACAUAGUGUUAACACGAAGACCAUAUAACUCAAAAUUUUACAU